rnacentral:rRNA from 1 species
CCUACGGGUGGCAGCAGUGGGGAAUAUUGGACAAUGGGCGUAAGCCUGAUCCAGCCAUGCCGCGUGUGUGAAGAAGGCCUUCGGGUUGUAAAGCACUUUCAGUGGGGAAGAAAGCCUUGGGGCUAAUACCCUCGAGGAAGGACAUCACCCACAGAAGAAGCACCGGCUAACUCCGUGCCAGCAGCCGCGGUAAUACGGAGGGUGCGAGCGUUAAUCGGAAUUACUGGGCGUAAAGCGCGCGUAGGCGGUCUGAUAAGCCGGUUGUGAAAGCCCCGGGCUCAACCUGGGAACGGCAUCCGGAACUGUCAGGCUAGAGUGCAGGAGAGGAAGGUAGAAUUCCCGGUGUAGCGGUGAAAUGCGUAGAGAUCGGGAGGAAUACCAGUGGCGAAGGCGGUCUUCUGGACUGACACUGACGCUGAGGUGCGAAAGCGUGGGUAGCAAACAGGAUUAGAUACCCCUGUAGUC